rnacentral:lncRNA from 1 species
CUCAACUUUUGAAUAGGCAAUACUCUCUCGAUAUCAAAAUGUAAGAGCAACUCCAACCAGGCGACCCAUUUCGUCCGCCCACGUCCGUUUGGUUCACCGCGGACAAAAUUGAUGGCCCACCAAGCCGACCCAUUCCUAGAAUGCGGACGCGCCCCUCGUCGUGCGUGAUGAGGACCAGGGGGUGGAGACCGCCUACUAGGAGUCGCUGGCGGCUGUUGUCCGUGAGAGCGAGGAGGAAAAGCGGCGCAAGAAGGAGGAGGAGGAGACGGCUUACCAGGUGUGGCUCAUGGAGGCCAUGGAGCUCUUCGCUGCCGACGACUGCAUCAUGCCACCUGUGGCCCCGCCAUCCAAGCCAAUCCCGAGUCGAGCAUGUCUCCCCGUAUGGGAGACGUACGUGUGGGGCGACGUAGUACGCGAGUAGGUCAGCGCGCCACCCAUGUGGUUUGGGGUGACGACGGCUGGCGGAGGAGGGCUUCAAGG